UGUAUGCGUGUGUGUGCAUGUGUAUGUGUCACUGAGAGUUUUGCCUUGAUGUCUACAGACAGGAUUCGCACACCACCCACCC
rnacentral:miRNA from 1 species